UCUGCUACUUGCAAGUAAGAUGGACA
rnacentral:piRNA from 1 species